rnacentral:tRNA from 1 species
GGUGGCUCAGUGGUAGAGCACUUGCCUUGCAAUGCUUGAGGCCCUGGGUUCGAUUCCCCAGCACCA